rnacentral:rRNA from 1 species
AGAGAAGUAAUUAAGGGCGUACGGCGGAUGCCUAGGCUCACAGAGGCGAUGAAGGACGCGAUAAGCUGCGAUAAGCUACGGGGAGCUGCACAUAGCAUUGAUCCGUGGAUUUCCGAAUGGGGCAACCCACUAUGUUGAAGACAUAGUACCAUUUAUGGGGCGAACCCGGAGAACUGAAACAUCUAAGUACCCGGAGGAGAAGAAAACAAUAGUGAUUUCCUGAGUAGCGGCGAGCGAAACGGAAUUAGCCCAAACCAAAUUUGUUACGGCAAAUUUGGGGUUGUAGGACUAUGACAUGGAUUGUACAAAAAACUGGAACGUUUUGGAAAGAACGAUCAUAGAGGGUGAUAAUCCCGUACAGGUAAGUCUGUAUAAAUCCUAAUAGUAUCCUGAGUAGCGCGGGGCACGUGAAACCUUGCGUGAAACAGCCGGGACCAUCCGGUAAGGCUAAAUACU